UACGGAGGGAGCUAGCGUUGUUCGGAAUUACUGGGCGUAAAGCGUGCGUAGGCGGUGACUCAAGUCAGAGGUGAAAGCCUGGAGCUCAACUCCAGAACUGCCCUUGAAACUAGGUCGCUAGAAUUGCGGAGAGGUGAGUGGAAUUCCGAGUGUAGAGGUGAAAUUCGUAGAUAUUCGGAAGAACACCAGUGGCGAAGGCGGCUCACUGGACUGAUACUGACACUGAGGUGCGAAAGCGUGGGGAGCAAACAGGAUUAGAAACCCCUCGUAGU
rnacentral:rRNA from 1 species